rnacentral:rRNA from 1 species
CCUACGGGAGGCAGCAGUGAGGAAUAUUGGACAAUGGUCGAAAGACUGAUCCAGCCAUGCCGCGUGCAGGAAGACGGCCCUAUGGGUUGUAAACUGCUUUUGUUUGGGAAGAAACCUUUCUACGUGUAGAAAGCUGACGGUACCAUACGAAUAAGCACCGGCUAACUCCGUGCCAGCAGCCGCGGUAAUACGGAGGGUGCAAGCGUUAUCCGGAUUUAUUGGGUUUAAAGGUCCGUAGGCGGACUUAUAAGUCAGUGGUGAAAUCCUGCAGCUCAACUGUAGAACUGCCAUUGAUACUGUAAGUCUUGAAUUCGGUUGAAGUGGGCGGAAUAUGGCAUGUAGCGGUGAAAUGCUUAGAUAUGCCAUAGAACACCGAUUGCGUAAGGCAGCUCACUAAGCCUGGAUUGACGCUGAGGGACGAAAGCGUGGGUAGCGAACAGGAUUAGAUACCCUGGUAGUCCACGCCGUUAAACGAUGAUUACUCGACAUUAGUCGAUACUACGUUAGUUAGUCUAUAGACGAAGACGAGUUAAGUAAGUACGACCGUACGGGUAAGGUACGUCCGUUCGAGUAAGUUAGUUAACGUACGAAGUUAGAGUUAGACGGACGUUGAGACGNGCGACGGACGACGACGAGGGAGGAGG